UUGCCUGACCUCAUGCAGGGUACUGAUGACCAACAGAUGACCCAAACUUGGUUCCUGCCCUUAUACAGAGAUGGGAGAGGUGGAUGUGGCUAUAGGGUGACAGUACAGAGAAGCUAUCACUACCCCAGAGGGCUGUGCUUGGACUAUGGAAGACCGGAGGAGGGAGCCACUCACUCUGCCAGGAGAGUCAGGAAAGGCUUCGUGCAGGAGAUGGGGAAACUGAGGCCCAAGAGGGGUGACCAGUUGUCCGAGGUCCCAGAAUGGGUUGAGGACAGAGCCAAGACCAGAACCAGAACUCCGUUUCAGCUUCUCCCAGGAAGCCCUGAUGGGGAGUUGUUCCCUCAGUAUCCGCUGGGAUUGGCUCCAGGACCCCCGCGGCUCCAGGACCCCCGCAGAUAUCAGUGUCUGCGGACACUCAAGUCCCUUAUAGAAAAUGGUGUAGAACAAUGCACACAGUCAGCCCCGUGCAUUCACAGACUCCCGUUCGUUGAAUCCUUGGAUGUGAAACCUGCGGGUACAGAGGGCCGACUGUAAUCCUCACAACCUCGUGAGUAAUGACUAUUCAACAACUGGCAUACAAAAUUUCUGGAACUUGAGCAACUGGCCCUUGCGAGCAGGUGUGAGCCAGCUUUGGUGCACUGCUGGACUUGUCCCCACCUAAAGGCACCCCACGCGACAUUGUCAACAAAAGAACCCCCCUGACUGGAGAAACUGUGGUGAAGCCAUUUGCCCUGGGAAAGCUUGAGCUGGCUUAUGCCUUGGAACACAGGAAGAAACUUGAAGCCAUGACUCUAUCAAAUUCAAGGGCAGGACAUAUCAACAUGGCCAGUUUGGCGUGGCCAUUUUGAUUCCUUCAUAUAAAAAUGGGAGAUUGGGGCUGGCCGAGUGGCGCGAUGGUUAAGAACUCGCUUGGGACGCCAGAGGGCCCCGGUUCGGA